AGAUCAAGAAUUUCAUUUGCAACUGCUUUAAUAAAGCCUCUCUGCACAGAACAGUGGUCUUCAACAUUUCCACAGAUAAAUAGGAUGACAAUUACUGUGGUUAGGUUCACAAUGACUAUGGCACAGAAGACACAAAAUGAUCUAUGUCCAAAAUUGCUGUCUGAGCUGUAAAACUGAAAAGUGCACUGCGAAGCACAAAGAUGAACGAUCAUGGAAGCUGUUUACUUAUACUUACACAAUAAAGCAUGCUUUGUUUUUUAGAUGGCAAAUUAUUAGCUUAGGUUAAGGCGUAUUCAUAUGCCAGAAUUUAUUUUGCAUAUAGUCAGACCUGUAUUUGCAUUUAGUCAUUUUUAAAUGUCAAAGAAUUUUGUGAAAUGUCUUUGAACUUCUUUAUUAUGUUACAACCAGCAUGGCCUUCUGCUUUUCUAAUGUAGUCUUCAAAAUUCUGGAAGAAUCUACAAUGUUUUGAGAGCUGAUACUUCUACUUCUACUUCAUCUCUACUCAAGACCUCAAACAGGGUUUCAUAACCUCCUUGAACAGUAAAUGUGAUUAAUCGACUGCAUAAUAAAAUCUUUAAAACCCACUAAUGUGUUAUGCAAUCAUAACAAAUUAUGAAUGUUUACUCUACUGCAUAUUCAUGUUCUUUAAUAUAAUAUAGCAGUCCCCUAUGACAGCACUUUCAUUGCUUAAAUAUACUGGCAUACGAUGUGUUAAUUCUGCAUGCUGCAAUAUGAUAUAAUAAGAUGGCAGUUAAGGUUGGAUGCUACUCAAU